GAUGAACGCUGGCGGCGUGCCUAAUACAUGCAAGUCGAGCGAACAGACGAGGAGCUUGCUCCUCUGACGUUAGCGGCGGACGGGUGAGUAACACGUGGAUAACCUACCUAUAAGACUGGGAUAACUUCGGGAAACCGGAGCUAAUACCGGAUAAUAUAUUGAACCGCAUGGUUCAAUAGUGAAAGACGGUUUUGCUGUCACUUAUAGAUGGAUCUGCGCCGCAUUAGCUAGUUGGUACGGUAACGGCUUACCAAGGCAACGAUGCGUAGCCGACAUGAGAGGGUGAGCGGCCACACUGGGACGGAGACACGGUCCAGACGGCUAGGGGAGGCAGCAGUAGGGAAUCUGGCGCAAUGGGCGAGAGCUUGACGGAGCAACGCCGCGUGAGGGAUGAAGGUCUUCGGAUUCGUAAAGCUCUGUUAUUAGGGAAGAACAAAUGUGUAAGUAACUAUGCACGUCUUGACGGUACCUAAUCAGAAAGCCACGGCUAACUACGUG
rnacentral:rRNA from 1 species